CAACCUCCCAAAGUGCCGGGAUUACAAGCAUGAGCCACAGUGCCUGACCAGAAUAAUGUUGACAAAGGACGACUGCAGUGAUUGAAGACUUUGGGAGAGGGAGUGAGAAGGUCAACGUUGCCUGAUUUUGAGAAACCCUGCGUGUCUGCUUUUGCCUGAGUUUUCAGCCCUUGGCAAGAACAACAUGCCAGAUUCUCCUGUCCAGAACCUGUGCAGAUAUCCUACAAUAUGACUCCAUUGUGCUUUUGUCAGUGGUUCUGAGGUUGUUACAGGACUGCCAGUCCAAGGGGAGAACCUCAGACUCUUUUCUGAACCAGUGCAUCUUCAAGGAUUCUCAUUGUUCUUCUGGCUGUAGUAGGAGCAUUUUCUGAAGAAGAAACUGCUGAUCAAGGUGGAGGAGGAGAGAGCCUUGACAGCCUGGCCCAUGGCAGCAUGACACAAUCAUCUUUGUUCUUAAAAAAUGUCCCUGAGAUGUCACUGCUGAGGAGCACAGAGAUGGAAACAGAAAGUGAAUAUGGCUGACAACCAAAAUGAGUCUGCCCUAUAGAUCAUCCUGUACCAGAGAUCUACAGCAUAAUGGCCUGGAAGCAGUCUUUGUUUUGGAGCCAAGCCCAGCAAAGUCUCAAUUCCUUCCCCUUCAAUCGCCAUCUGGAUGAACAAGGCCAAGUCAUUGACCUUCUCUGGGCCUCAGUUUCCUCACCCAUAAACUGGAGUUAAACAUACCAAGACUUGAGGAAUUAUGUCCAAGGUUCCAGCAUUGAACAUGAAGAACGCAGGAUUUAUUGGCACGUCGUGAUAACCGUAAAGCCCACGCUUCUACUGCAGUGUUGAGUUUGCGUGGCUAUUGGCAGGAGAUCUUCCCAGAAGAAAAAGAAUGGAGGAAAGAUGUUGGAAAGGAAGACACAAUUGGCCAACAAGAGAAAGGAAGAGCUUCUCCAAGACUGGAAAGAGAACAAGGCUAACUUCUGUUCAACUCCCUGGCAAGUUGGUGGAUCUCAGAGAUGAAUGAUCUUGAGUCACACCAAGGUCAUGACGCCUGGGUGUGGGGAACUUCUCGUCUCAAGAAGGAACUCAUUUCAACUAUGACACACAAUGGUGAAGAUGCAAUUAUGCAAAGGACUUUCUACUUAGAAAAAAAAAGUUCAUAUCAUGGAUAACCAGCACAGACAUACAUUUUGGAAGCCUUUUUUAAAUAUUCGAGUCUUCAUGAAACCCUAAGUUUCUCUCACACAGUCAUGAAUUUAGGGGUAGGGAGUUCCAAUAAUGACCAAAUUUGAAUUUCUCAACAUACCAGGAGAGAUCUCAGGAUAGGAUUUACUUUGAUUUAAGGGGAAUAAGAGAUUUUUGACAUUUCUGUAUUUCUCACAUUCAAAUUUGACAAUGGGAGGAUCAUGCCCUGCCCCCCACCCUCAUUCUCCAUCUCUCUGAAGCCCAGGCUUUUAACCAUUGGCCAGAGGGCUGAAUAUAAAGGUCACAUGAUUUUGGCCAGGCAUGGUGGCUCAUGCCUGUAAUCCCAGCACUUUGGGAGGCCAAGGCGGGCGGAUCACCUGAGGUCAGGAGUCCAAAACCAGCCUGGCCAACAUGGUGAAACCCAGUUACUACUAAAAAUAUAAAAAUUAGCCAGGAGUGGUGGUGGGUGCCUGUAAUCCCAGCUACUAGGGAGGCUGAGGCAGGAGAAUUGCUUGAGCCCAGGAGAUGGAGGUUGCAGUGAGCCAACACGGUGCCACUGCACUCCAGCCUGGGUGACAGAGUGAGACUCCUCUCAAAAAAAAAAAAAAAGAUGGCACAAUUUCAGGGACAGCCCAGGUUCUGCAGUUCUUGUGGCCAUUGCUAAUAAGAGUGGACUCUGACUCAUCUAGGAGAAUGGGACUGAGUGGAAGACGUUUGUGGGAUUGCUCCUCAUGCCACCGUCUUCCCUGAGAUCUACUAGCUGCGUUUUUUAAUUAGUAAACUGAGAAAAAAAAAUACAUGCCUGGACAUUUUAUGCAUCUAUGAAAACAAUAGUAUUUAGGCUAGGCAUGCUGGCUCAUGCCUAUAAUCACAGCACUUUGGGAGGCUGAGGCAGGAGUACCAAUUGAGGCCAAGAGUUCCAGGCCAGCCUGGGCAACAUGGCAAGAUCUCAUCUUGGCAAAAAAUUAAAAAUUUAAAAAUAAGCAAGGUAUGAUGGUGCGCAUCUGUCGUCCCAGUUACUGAGGAGGCUGAGGUGGGAGGAUUGCUUAAGGCUGGGAGGUUAAGGCUGCAGUGAGCUGUGACCACAUCACUGCACUCCAGCCUGGGCAACAGAGUAAGACCCUGUCUCAAACAAGACAAAACAAACUAAACUAAAACAAUGGUGUUUAAAAAUUUUUUAAAGGCAAGCAAUUACUAUUUGUUUGCUAGGGUUUUUCAUUUGUAUUGUUCUGUGAUUCUAAGGCUCGAGGCCAUUGUGAGUUGUACAUUUUCGUGAAAAUCAAGGCUGCCCUGGGGUAUAAGUUCUCUUAUCUCUAUAGUACUUCAGCUGCUUCUCAUAUGUCUAGUAGUUCCAGGACUUAUUAUAUUUUUAGUCCUUAUACUUUAAGUAGCCACUUAAGUGCUAAAUCAACAAGAUAAAAAAAUGUUGGUAACAUUGAAAGACAAAACCACACCCACACUCAUUACUAUUAUAGUCACUGUUGCUCUCCCUUUUUGUCCACUUGUGAGUUUCACCAUGUUAAAAUCCUAGGUCUGAAAGAAAUAUCUAAAAAACUCGAUUAUUCCCAAACAGAAGAAGUCAUCAUGUUUAAGGUUGCUAAAGUGCAUUUGGCAUUUCCAAAUGAGCCUCCUUUAUCUCAAUAAGCAACAAUUACUCCAAGUUCUUAUUUUAAUUCUAAAGCUACCAAAGGACUGCCUCUAAUCCUGAAAGCAAGUUUGCAAUGUUGAAGUCUCUGUGAAAUAUUUCCUCCAUAGUUUCAAUAGCCUAUUUUCUGAGACAGAGAUUGAGUGACAGUUUAAAAGAGUACAGAUUACAAACCCAUUUAAGAGUGUUGCAUUUUUUGAAUUUGUCACAAAUGGGAAGGAAAAGCCAGGGUGACACAGGCAAGGCUCAAGUGCCAACAUGUGUCUUUCUGUUUAUUCAUUAUUCAGGGGUCAGACCCUCACCAGGGCCAGAGAGAAAUGACAAAAAUAAAUACCUAUCAGUGCAACAAUCUGCAAUUUAAAAUAAUGAAAAGCAAGAUUCCUAUUCAUUUUUAUGGCACAAACCUGACAUCAUUUCACUCCAAUUUUCUAUAAUGGAACCAGCUGGGCUCUGGGAGGAAACUAGUAAUAGGUUUUAAUGGACAAAAUCUGCCAUUGAAACUGGCCAUUUUCUCAUGCAAUCUCAGGGCUUGGCACCCAGCCCAUCAUGAGGUAUCAUGCUCUCUGCAGUGCUUCAUGAGUGCGGGAAAACAGAGGGAUGUGUGAGUGGGAGGACCGCUGAGCCCUUGGGAGAGAGAAGGAUGAGAAGUGACAGUCUCUCCUUCCUCCACCAGAAAGAGUUCUAAGCGCCAGAUCAGGGUUCCAUAAUCCCAACUGGAUAGAUCCCUGGAGAAGACCCAAGGGAAUGUCAAUGUCUUUACUAAAAGCUUGCAAAAAUCGUGGAAGCCAGGUUGAAGAGAGAGGCAGAGAGGGUCGAGAUGAGUGAGGAAAAUACCAUCAUUUCAGUGCAAGCCCCUGAAACAAUUUCCAGUUACUUUUGGUUGCAAUAGACACAACCAGGUUUUACCAGGUCUGGAUUAAUAGUCAACAAAUGUUUCUCUCUCUCUCUCUCUCUCCCCUCUCUCUCUCUCCCCUCUCUCUCUUCCCCUCUCUCUCUUCCCCUCUCAUUUCAUUAAACUAUUCUUCCUCCCUUCCCAUUCAGCUCUCAAACUGCUGUUAACAUAUGAAAAUAGCAUGCAAAGAAUGGAAUGGGCUGACUGCCAUGGAGAUAAAAAUGGGAUGUUCAUUCUAAUUUAUUUCAUGGCACCAUGCCCUCUUGCUGCCUCUGUUGUCUUUGCUAGGCGGCUUGAUUGCCUCUUUGAGAAUAUGACUGGUCUGGCCCCAGCCUUGUUUUGAGCCACAGUUGAGGUUAAACAGGCAGCCAGCCUUUGGAGGUUGAACACAAAUCUGAUCAAAGUCACCCUGCCCAGGUUUAUCUGGGCACAGAACAAUGAGGCCUUUUUGUUUUUUGUUUUUUUAUCUUGCAACAGAUUUUUCAGCUAAACGAUCCCUAAUGUUCAUUUUGGUGAAAUGCUGCAGGUUCUAAAAAUGAAUGAUGUUUUCAAAUAAUGUAUACUCACUUUGCUUAAAGCAUGUUCUACAACUUCUGUUCCAACUGUCUCAUGGCAGUGGUCCUGAGGCAGGGAUAAAUGAUUUAAAAGGAAAUUCUACAUGGU
rnacentral:lncRNA from 10 species